rnacentral:lncRNA from 1 species
AUGCAUUCAGUUCCAUAUCCCUGGGGUUAUGAUAAUGCUUGGGAGAGACUAAUGCAUUCAGUUCCAUAUCCCUGGGGUUAUGAUAAUGCUUGGGAGAGACUAAUGCAUUCAGUUCCAUAUCCCUGGGGUUAUGAUAAUGCUUGGGAGAGACUAAUGCAUUCAGUUCCAUAUCCCUGGGGUUAUGAUAAUGCUUGGGAGAGACUAAUGCAUUCAGUUCCAUAUCCCUGGGGUUAUGAUAAUGCUUGGGAGAGACUAAUGCAUUCAGUUCCAUAUCCCUGGGGUUAUGAUAAUGCUUGGGAGAGACUAAUGCAUUCAGUUCCAUAUCCCUGGGGUUAUGAUAAUGCUUGGGAGAGACUAAUGCAUUCAGUUCCAUAUCCCUGGGGUUAUGAUAAUGCUUGGGAGAGACUAAUGCAUUCAGUUCCAUAUCCCUGGGGUUAUGAUAAUGCUUGGGAGAGACUAAUGCAUUCAGUUCCAUAUCCCUGGGGUUAUGAUAAUGCUUGGGAGAGACUAAUGCAUUCAGUUCCAUAUCCCUGGGGUUAUGAUAAUGCUUGGGAGAGACUAAUGCAUUCAGUUCCAUAUCCCUGGGGUUAUGAUAAUGCUUGGGAGAGACUAAUGCAUUCAGUUCCAUAUCCCUGGGGUUAUGAUAAUGCUUGGGAGAGACUAAUGCAUUCAGUUCCAUAUCCCUGGGGUUAUGAUAAUGCUUGGGAGAGACUAAUGCAUUCAGUUCCAUAUCCCUGGGGUUAUGAUAAUGCUUGGGAGAGACUAAUGCAUUCAGUUCCAUAUCCCUGGGGUUAUGAUAAUGCUUGGGAGAGACUAAUGCAUUCAGUUCCAUAUCCCUGGGGUUAUGAUAAUGCUUGGGAGAGACUAAUGCAUUCAGUUCCAUAUCCCUGGGGUUAUGAUAAUGCUUGGGAGAGACUAAUGCAUUCAGUUCCAUAUCCCUGGGGUUAUGAUAAUGCUUGGGAGAGACUAAUGCAUUCAGUUCCAUAUCCCUGGGGUUAUGAUAAUGCUUGGGAGAGACUAAUGCAUUCAGUUCCAUAUCCCUGGGGUUAUGAUAAUGCUUGGGAGAGACUAAUGCAUUCAGUUCCAUAUCCCUGGGGUUAUGAUAAUGCUUGGGAGAGACUAAUGCAUUCAGUUCCAUAUCCCUGGGGUUAUGAUAAUGCUUGGGAGAGACUAAUGCAUUCAGUUCCAUAUCCCUGGGGUUAUGAUAAUGCUUGGGAGAGACUAAUGCAUUCAGUUCCAUAUCCCUGGGGUUAUGGUCUUUGGAUAAAUACUAAAUGUGCUUUGUUCAUUCUACAUAUAAAAUGGAAAUAUAUGUAA